UUUUAAAUCAAAAGCUAGAAAUGAUUAAGCUUAGGGAGGAAGGCCUAUUGAAAGAUGAUAGGCCAAAUUUUUCUUGGCCAAACAGGUAAACAAGCUGUGAGUGCAAAGGAAAAGUUCUUAAAGACAAUGAGAAGUGCUACUCCAGUGAACACGUUGGAAAGUGAAUCAGCCUUGAUAUGUAGGAAGUUUUAGUGGUUUGGGUAGAUCAAACCAGGGACAAUAUUCCCUUAUGCCAAAGCCAAAUAUUUGAAAAGUUUUACCCAACAGUGCUAUUUUCAAAGGUCACAAUAAAACUGGAAGAAUUCUAGGUCAUAUGCCAUAUUGAAUAAAGAGACUAAUCAAUGGGAUUCACUGAUCCAUUGGACAUAAUAGUAAAAUAAAAUUGAUAUAAACCCCCUUCUUAUUUCUAAUUAUACAAUUUCAACUAGCAUCUGGUUAUGUUUUGAGACUUACAAAAAGCCUUACAUAUUUUUUUUAAUAUUUAUUUUUCAGUUGUACACAAUACCUUUCUUUUGUUUAUUGAUUUUUUAUGUGGUGCGGAGGAUCGAACCCAGGGUCUCGAAUGUGCUAGACAGGGUCUUGGUAUGUUGCCCAUGCUGGUCUCCAACUAUGAGCUCAAGUAAUCCUCUCAUCACAGCAGCUGGGACUACAGUCUGCUUUCUGGAAACCCAAACUGUGAAAGACAUCAAAGAAAGGGCUGGGAGGCAAAUCAUGUCUCUACUUACUACUUGUGUGACCUCUAAGACAGAAGAUUAUAAAAGAACAGGUUGAUACAAGCCUUCUUGCACUUGGGAACACAAGAGAGCACUAAAGUACUAUGUUUGGAGCCAUUUUAAACAGCACAAAAUGCAAAAGACAAGGCACUAAGUAGAUGGCAAAAAGAACAACUAUUUACAGAAUGAUAGUUGAAACAAAAGAGGCCCAAAACCACUAACUUCAUUCUUUGUUGAUUGUAUUAGGGUUCUCUAGAGGAACAGAAUCAAUAGGAAGUAUAAUUACAAAAAGAGGAUUUAGUAGGUUGGCUAUAUGACCAGAAGCUGGAUAGUCCACAAUGGCCGUCUACAGGCUGGAGAGCUGGAAGAACCAGGAGCUGCGUAGUCCAAGAGGCUGAAGCUCCAGAACAAGAGGCAUCAAUGGUGCUACCCUAGUCCAAAACCAAAGGCUUCUGGAAACUCCCUAAAGAAUCACUGGCAGAGUCCACUUUAGAAGAGUGAAGAAGUGACAGUCCAAUAUCCUCAGAUGAUCACAGAAGCAAUCAAGAACCGUUAAAGCUGCUGCUUCCUUGUUCUUCCAACUUUUAUUCCACCCAAGCCAUCAUCCUAUUGGAUGGUGCCGCCCAUGCUUAGGGAGGGUCUCCCGUAGGCUAUACCACAUGCCAAUCAUUCCUGCACACACCCUCGAUGACACACCCAGAAACCUCUUAAUCAUUGGCAUCUCUUAAUCCAAUCAAGUUGGCAAUUCAAAUCAAUGAUAUCCACCUUUCAGUAAUCUCAUCUAGUUCCAUGACUGAUUACCCUUACAUUAAACAGAUGUAGUCCCCCAGUUCUUGAAUGUUAUGUUCUGUUUUCCAUUUUGACAAUUUCUACUGGCUCAAAUUCACAGAUUAUUUCCUCAGUUGUGUUUGAGGAAACUCUACUAAUAAAUUCAAACACCAUUUCAUCUAUGUUACCAUUUUUAUUUCUAUUUGAUUUUUCAUAUAGUUUCCAUCCCUCUGCUGGUGUUCCCCAUCCAUUCAGGCAUGAUGAACACUAGAAUAACAUAUUAUUUUAAAUUCAUUAUCUGAUACUUCCAACAGCUAGAUCAUCUUGAAUCUGGUUCUGUUAAUUAUUUUGAUUUCUGGAAAGUCAUUUUUUUCUUGCUUUUUUGAUGUUUCAAUUCAUAAUUUCUGCCUGAAUGAUGGACAUCAUGUGUAAGAUAGUUCAGACUGAGGCAAAUAGUAUUUAUGCUUAGAAAUGGAUAUGAUUCUUCUUCUAUAUCAUAAGUGUGUGUUAAGUGGGGGAGGAUUGAGCCAAUCUAUUCAGAAAUCAAACUGGGCUGAGUUUAUUAUGGUUAGCUAAAGUGUACUAACCAGCUUAAAUCUCUAGUGGGGCCUGCUUGGGGUGGUGGGGGGGGCUGGUUUGCCAGAGGGUUUUUCUCACUGCUCUUGCUCCAUCCUCAGCUUCAGGCUGUCUCUCUGCAGUUCCCCCCAAGAGGCUUUCUCCAUACUCCUGUUCCUCCCCCAGGGAUAGACUGUUGUUGCUACACUUGAAAGCAGAAGAGGGAAGGUUCUCUAUUAUCCUGUCCCUGUCUCAGUUUCAGGUAGGACCUAUAUUCUUAGGUUUUAGUAGAUGGGCUUUCUCCUAGUGGCAGAAACACUAAUGAUGUGAAACCAGGACAGUUUCCUGCCUUUCCUCAGGGUUGUCGGUUUUCUUUUUCUUUUCUAUUUCUUCCAGACACCAUGGAAAAAAGGGUUUGAUCCCUUUCUCCAGUGGUUUUAAACUCUUUUUCCAUGGGAAAAAAAUGGUCCAAGCAGGCCUGGACCCAUACAGACAGGUUUUCUCUGGUUUCUUUUGCUCACCCCACCCUCACUCCUUGCCCCAGCUUUCUUAUGAGCAAAUGUUAGCGAUCCUUCAAGAAAAGCCUAUAAAAAGAUAAGAACUCUCUUAUGUCUGCAGCUCCAAAUUUUAAGAGACUGACUAUGUCAAGUGGUAGGAGAACCACUAACAAAGAGAUUGGUAAACUGGUGCACUGGAGGCUAAGACAGGAGGAUUCUGGAUUCUCAUGCUAGCCUAUUCCUGAACUUUAUAAUUCAUUAAAAAUUUAGCUAAAUUAUUCUUUCUCCCUGGUAAGACAGUCUGACCUUGUUUUGUACUCUGCCACAAAUGCCAUGCACAUAUCCUAUCUCUGUGGGUUCAAGAAAAUUUAUGAGUCUGCAGAUUACAUAAUUUUUGUUUUAGAUAUAAGCAACACUCUAUCCAGGUUUCUACAUCCUAGGCAGCAGCUAGAGCCCCCAUUUUUUCAGUAUUAUCUAUAUGUCCAUAAUUCCUAAAUGUAGACCUCUCCCCCAAAAUCCAGACUCAAGUAUAUCCAAUCCUACAAGAUAAAUCUACUUCGAUUGUCUGGUAGACAGAUUUUUAAGGUGGUCCUUGUGAUCCGAAUCUCCUGGUGUUCAUGUCUACUCUCUCUUUGAGUGUGUCUUUUUUUCUGGGGACAGAAGGAGUAACUAGAGAUCAAACCAAGGGCUUUGUGUAUGCAAGGCAAACACUUUGCCAUUGAGCUACAUUCCAUCCUCCCCCCUUGAGUGAGGGAGGACUUGUGAUUUGCUUCUAACCAACAGAAUAUAGCAAAGUUGAUGCAAUAUUAUUCCCAUGAUUAUGUUACAUUUUAUGGCAAAGAAAUGGGAUAUCAUUUCCUUGAUUAUGGUAUAUAUUACACAAGACUCUCUUACUGGACUUAAAAGAAGCAGGAAGCCAUGUUGUGACCUGCCUAUGCAAAGAAUCACAUGACAGGGAAUUAGAGGCACCCUCUAGGAGACAAAAAUAGCAUCCAGCCAACAGCCAACAGAAAACUGAAGCUUUCAAUCCUACAGCCACAAUGAAAUGAAUUCUGCCAACAACCUAACUGAGCUUGGAAGUGGAGACUUCUCUAGUCUAAUCUCCAGGCAAGAACCCAGCCCUAGUCAACACCUUGACCACAGCUUGUUGAGAUCUCAAAAAAGAGAACCAGCUAAGAUAUGUCUGAUCUUACAGAAACUGUGAGCUAAUAAAUGUGUAUUGUUUUAUGCCCCUAA